GCCCGAAGUCCGCCUGGUGGUCGUUGCCCAUAACGAAGGGAUCGAUUUUCUGUUGCGCGGAGCGCGCGACGAGGCGGGCGAGCUGCUUGAGCCCGCGAUCCGCCGCUUCCGGGAGCGGGGCGUCGAAUUUCGCGUGUGCAGCAAUACGCUGGAGCGCCGCAGCCUUGAUCCGGACGAGGUGAUUGCGGCCGCCACGCUGGUGCCUUCCGGCAUCGCCGAGAUCGGCAGGCUGCAAAGCCGGGAAGGCUACGUGUACCUCCGGCUUUGAUGCGCCCCAUGCCGCAUGGCAACAUAGAGGCCCUGGAUGACGCCAUACACAGCUUUCAGGCGUAGGGUUUUUCCCAAGUAGCGGGUUUUUCUGCAAUCAUCUGG
rnacentral:misc_RNA from 1 species